AUAAUAAAACCAAGGUUUUAUUUCCCUCAUCCUCACCCAAUUCCCCGAAUCCUCCCGAUCUCCUUGCCAACAUCGCCGCCCACACUGCAUUGCCCUGGUCUUCUCGAUGUCGAGCCCCCUUCUUCCCGAUUCCUCUCCUCCAGCGUGUCUCCGCUGACCUCCAUGGCCGAUCGCUGGACGUGGCCUUCUUCCCCGCUGUAGAUCCGGCCUGAACUCGAUGUCAAGCCCUUGCUCGUGUCCUACUUCUCUUCUUCCCUGAUCCGAUCUGAGCACCACUUACCCUUUUUUGGUCAGCGCCACUCAGAUUCGUCCGGUCGUCGUCUGGUCCGCCACAGUCCUCUCUGAUUCGUUGCUCGCCUUUAUGUGCCGCCUUGCCGACUCCCCCUUCCCAUCAUCAUUGAUGUAGAUCCGUUGCCUCCCCUUCGUGUCGACUCGAUGUUGCUGCCGUCUCCAGUCGACCAUUGUUGACCACUCGGAACCAUCAUCUAUUUCAUCGCCAGCAGCUCCUCCCUAUUCUGACCAUCCACGAUGAGGUCUCACAGCUUGUCGCCGGAAUCUCGCUGUGAGCAGAUAGUCGACCUCUCCUGCUCGCUAUCGUCGUUGUUGUGUACCACUACUAAGGAUCCAUCGUUGGAGAGGCAAUGGCCGAAUAGGGGGACCGGCACCGGCACGCGACCGAGACAGCACGAGGGCGUGAAGUUCGGAUCGUCAUCGCAUGCGUCUUCGCGUGCGUCUGGUUGCGGCACAGUGGGCGACAAAAGGAAUCGAUUGGAUUCCUUCUGUCGAUCACGAGAUCACGGAAAAAACUUAUAUAAACGACGAAAACUUACCUGGAAGCAUCAGCGACGGAGAUUGGGUCGAGGCGGCGAGGCAGCGAGGCAGCGAGGCGGCGAGGAGGCGAGGCGACGAGGAGGCGACGCGGCUAGGCAGUGAGGCGGCGAUCACAUAUCUUCGGCAGCGACUCCAGCUCCGACUCCUCGACUCUUCUGCUCCCCCUCCGACGGCUACUUGAGAGAGAGAGAGAGAGAGAGAGAGAGAGAGUCAAAGAGCAACAAUGUUACGAGGGGAAGAACCCUAGCAAGAGGCUCAAGCAGAAGGCAUCGCCCAUGGCCGGGGCUGACCCUGGAAACCUAGCAGGAAGAUGAAGAAGCUCGUUUGGGAGCGGGCCCUGGAAUAUCACUCUGACUAGGACGACGAAGUCGACGAGGACGUUCUGGAGGAGCCUUCGAGCGACGCGGAGCAGGAUAAGGAAGAACAGAAGGACGGUUUGGGUGUCGGGGAUAACGGGAGCGACAGUUACGAAGUCGACGAUGAGGAGGACGGGGAUGGAGUGAAGCAUGGCAUCUCCCGGUUUGUCGAGGGUUGAGGGAUUUGGAUCGCUGUUUCUAAGAUUAUAAAGAGGCGCCUCUGGGAUGAUUCCCUUAAAAUCUUGCAUAAGAGGAUACAGCUACUUAAGAAAGGGGAGACGAGAAGGAGAAAAAAAAGAUGGUUAGUGUGAUUAAUUACCAGACUUGUCAUACAAUUGCCUCCCCGUUCUGUUGCUUUCAUUACGGAUUGAAAAUCUUGCAUAAGAGGAUACAGCUACUUAAGAAAGGGGAGACGAGAAGGAGAAAAAAAAGAUGGCAGCCGAGAAGGGGCACACUAAAGUGGAGAAUUUUUUGAAUGCAAACGAGGAGUUUCUUAAAGGAAGUAAUCUCUGGCUUCCAAAGGAUGUGACCUAACAUCUUUGCAAAUUAUGUCAUUCUAGCCAUUUACUGUGCUACAGUACGUUCCCCUCGAACCAAAAAGUCUUCAUCUUGCAUGUGUGAUUCUUUGCUGGAUUAUCAGUUGUGAAGUUAUUUAAUGCAGUCAGUAAAGCACAGAGUUGCUAGAAUGGCUUGAGUCCUUUGAGCUCCAUAGGUGCUAAAGUUGAUCAUUUUUUUGGUACUACAAGGUGAAGAUACUUCCAUGUCUGGUCUAUAAUCUCAUCCUGUGUUAGACAGCAUGGCCAAAUGUACCUUUUUGUUAAAUUACCAAAAUCGAUUACUCACUGACAUGGACACUUACAUACAUAUUACUUCAUCUUGCCCUGAUAUUUCUCAUACUAUCACUUGUCUGCUGGAGUGUCUAAAAGUGUUAUUCAUUCAUCAGACUUUGAAGUCCUCAUGUAUAACGUUACAUGUAUGAAAGGCUAUUACACAUAAGCCCUUACACUAUGAUAUGUUUGUCUGAGAAUGCUGCAAUCACUUCUGUAUUUUGUGAUCUCAACAGUUUUGGCAAAAAGAAGAAAACAAGCAUUUUUUCGGAGCUACAAAAGCCAACAACCUAGGCGUUUGGGCUUCGCCCGUCUAAUCUUGGAGGUAGAUAGCCUUCCCCUUGGUUCUCCUACCGAAAAUCUGGAGUACAACUUAUGCACAUUUAGAAAUCUUAAGGUAGAUGAUUAUUUUGUCAGUGACAUGCAUGAAUUUAUUGUCCUGGUUUUUGCAAGUGGUAUAGGAGUUUCUUCUAUUAAACAUAGAUUUUAGAGAGUAUCAUGAAGAAUCUUCACAUCAAGGAUAAUUAAUCCAUUUGUUUAUGGGUCUAUUACAUACACAUGUAUUUGUAGGUACCCAGUUUGUUCACCUAGUAAUAGUAAUGUUAGUAUUUAGAACAAUCGUGUGGAUAUUCUGAAAAGCAUAAAACGCUAGUGCUACUUUGGUUUUUUAACUCAAUACAUCGUUUUUUACUUUUAAAUAUUUGGUCAUUUGAUUUCAUUACAGUCAAAUAAGAAAAAUAUUGUUCUUUGUGCUAAAUAAAUAUUAUGGUUGAAGCAGUUACUUUAUCACAUUGAUGAUGUUAUGCUAAGUUGGAUUCCAUCCAAAUGUUACUUGGACACUAUUAAACAACUCUAUGAUUGUUCUAUUUGAUUACUUACCUUCUCAGAUCAGAUCAGAUCAACAAGUUUCAGCAACAAAACCUUCCUCCUGUAGCUGAUCCUCUAUCAUCCCCAUUUAUAAUUGCAAACUACUGUCAUGUAAUUUCACUUAUCUAGUCAAAUCAAAUUGCAACUUUGAGUUAAUUCUAAAUCUCCUUUUGUUCAGGUCUAGAUUGAUCCUUCUCUUCCUAACUUUGUUCUUGAACAAGGCUAGCAACUUUUGAUGGUAGCUUCCUGCUCCUUGAUCAUGGUUAUCUCAACAUAUCACAUGGUUAGACUUGUAGCUGUGCCCAGAAAAAGAGAAAAAUCAGUGCACCAAGUCUGAGAAAUGCAGUUCCCCACACUAGGUGCAUGCUAAAAUGGUUCUCAAAGAUAUUUCUUUUGGGAAUGUUGCUAGGAGCAAUGACCCUCUACCAGGGAGCAAGGUAAUAUGCUAGGUCUGAUUGUCCAAACCUGAAAUGAAAUGCUUUUGCAAUAUAGGCUAGCAAAUAUGCUCCGAAAUCUUUGCAUAAAUGCCAUUAGAAGGUUUUUCUUUGUUAAAAUAAUAACAAAAUAAUUUAUUUGAUAAAAUUGCAACUUAACCUUUAACUAUGUAAAGUAUUUUUGAAUUAGAUUAUUUAUUGAUAUUUUGUCUAAUAUUUUGAUAGAUUUUAUUUAAUAUUUUGAAAUGAAAUAAAUAAUUUUAGAUAAGUUGGUAGAGAUUUUAAGAAAGAUAUAUGCCAUAUCAAAAUUUGCAACGGUAAAUAAUUUCACUAAUUUGAAAGGGAUAAGUGUGCGUUUGCUCCUUUUGAAUGAUUUGGUAAGAUGAAUAGUUGGUAUUUGUAAAUCAUCUAUUAUGCUGGAGUGACAUCAAGAUUUUCUAUAAUUGGCAAAAGGUGGAACCGCCACCCUAGCGGCCCCCUGGCCCCGGCCCCAUAAGAUUCCAGAGGGAGUAAAUCACGGUUAAUGUUGGGCAGGAUAGAUUUUCUAUAAUUAAUCUUUGAGGAGGUGGUUCUCUCUCGACUAAGCUAUUUUACCAUGAACUAGAGUAAUAAUUGAAUGCUUCUGCAGCUUUGUGGUUAUAAGAAAAAGAAUCUGGAUGGUCUCCACUUUGGGACAGUCAGAUGCUUAGAACUUCAUAAUUUGACAGAUUGGGAUAAAACAGCAGAACUUGUGGCUGAAGAGAAGGUUUUGUCCGACAGUUCCUCAGAUGGAGAAUAGUUGCUGCAAGAAUAUUAUUGGAUUAUCGGAUGAGUACGGCUAGAAAUUGCCAUCAUGGUAAAUAAUGGCAAUGUUUCCUCAGGAAACAUCAUGCCCCAUCGUGCUCUGCUAAACCUCUAAAUUUAUGCACGUGAGGGUUUUAAAAGAGAAUAAAAUCUGCAGGGAGUGGAAGAAGUUUUUUUUCCCCUCUGGAAAUAUAGGCUAACAGUAUUCAUGAAGAAGCAAGUUAAUAGUCAGAAGUGUCCUCGAGUGAGCGUUGAAAAGAAGCAAUAAAUGCCGUGAAGCUGCCUUUGGACGCGUCUUCCGUUGUAUCCGCACUGUAUCCAGUAACGACUCUGAUCCGUGAAGAUUUUGUUGCGAACAAAAUGCCUCUAAAAUCUCUUAAUUUGCAAAUGGCUUAUGAAAGACAUGUGAAGAGCCAUGGAUGUAAAUAAUUAACACCAGCUGGGUGAUCAUCUGACAGGAUAAACUAAUCCCCACUCCUCCCUCCUUUUGAUAUGUUCCAAUGGACCAACGCACGUCAGGCGGCUGACGUCGCCCUGUGUCUCCCCAAUGCAGAUUUGGUUAAUUUAAGCAGGUUUCAUCAUCAAACCAGAGAAGUUCAAGAUUCAAGGAAAUAAAAAUACAUUAUCCGCCCCAAUACUGAAUGCGGCAAGACUUUGAUUUGUUCCACAAGGGUUGCAUCUGGUCCCUCCCAAUGAGGAUUAUUGUAAUGUAACAGGACACGAAAAAACUAAAAGAAUAAGAUUGUGAAGAGAUGGAUUGAUGUACCUCAUUCGGGGUUGCAAGUUCCCGUGGAAGGUAUAAACAAUGUAUGUCAUAAUUGGCUGUUGGGCGAUUGAUAUCAUUGUAUAUAAUACGAAAGGUAUAAAUUUCAGCA